AGGGGUGUAGCUCAGCUGGUAGAGCAGCGGUCUCCAAAACCGCAGGUCGCAGGUUCGAGUCCUGUCACCCCUGCCA
rnacentral:tRNA from 1 species